CCCACACCAUCGCCCCAACCGGGACAGAAAGUACAGGGUUUUGAAUGUACACACGGAACAUUUUUAUGUACACGCUAGCAGCCUACAUGUCUACAUUGUCAUAAUGAGCAAUUUUUUAUAGCCCCUGAUCUGUGUGUGGUGGUGGGUACAUUAUAAAAACACAGAGAUGGUCUGAUGUUAUUAAAUUAACAUACAAACUAAAAUACAUUGCAGUACAACUUGUUAGAGGAUCAUCAGUUGAGUUUGUCUUAGUUUGACUUUAUUCUGUUCUAAGUCUGAGCUGAUAUUUUUCUUUAACGUUGGAGUCUGAAGAUAAACAGUAUGUGUAGAAGUGUGUUUAGGUUUGCACCACUUCUGUUUCUGUUGGGGACGUACGCCGCCAUUAAAGAGACCCUAUUGAAAACAUUGGAGAUUGGAGGAACAGAUGUCACUCACAUCUGCCAAAAUCAUACAAUGUCUGAUAUGUUGUUGAUAACAUGCAAAAUAAAUGGGGAGCACAAGUGUGGAAUCUCAUUACGGUUUGACAAAAAUGAUACAAAUACAACUUGUGACUCCAGGGUCAAUCUACAGAAUGAUGGUGGCAGAGUGUUUCUACACAUAACUAACAUACAACCAUCAGAUGAAGGGAUCUACCAAUGUGAGUGUGUAUAUCAUGGAGGAACAACAAACUUGACUCUUCAUUUGAAUAUUUCUUUCAAUGAAACAGUCUUUCACUGUCUCUUCCUUACUCAGAUGAUAAAAGGCAUCGCAGCAUUUAUAGCUGUAAUGAUCUUCACUGCCAUAAUCAUGAGAAAAGUUAAUCUCAGGAGGAAACAAUGAAGAAAGUGCUUUUCACCUCCAACGGGGUGACCAAAAGUAUUUACUUUACCUUUUAAUAAUGCACACGUAGAGUGUUUUCAUUCAACAUUUCAAUAUCACAACACUUACAAGAAACUGCCCUAAACAACUUCCCUAUUAUAUUUAAGUGAAUUUGCAGAUUUUCUUUAAUGUCUUUGUAGGAGGAGCUAACAACCGUACAUCGAGUCGAAUGACACAUUCACAAAGAGAGACGACAUGCUUUAUUCUUACAGUGCCUCAUCUCAAUUCCUGACCCUGACUUAUUGGCACUGUUGAACAAUGACUACAUAGUACUAGACUGUUCUAGGGGGUUGAUUGUUAUUUCAUCAGCUCUGGAUAUGCCUACAGACAUACAUUAAAAAGUUAUAGAUGUACUGUACAUCCUUCACAUAUGUUCUGUUGCAUGAAACCAAUGUUCCUGUAGAUCGAUAAUGUGAUUAUGUACAUUUACACCAGGGGUCAUUGUAUUGCAUUUGCUAAAUACCGUGCAUUACCCAGCAGCAGUAGAGAUGUUAAGCCAGUCGAUUUAAUGUUUCACGACAGUGCAUCUUCUUCGCUUUCAAUGUUCUCUCUGUGUUUAUCCUGUUGGCCAAAUAAGCAGUGCAGCUUGUCUUAAGACAAAGUAUAGCCUUCACUACCAUGUUGGGACUGUCUUGAGAAGUGAAAGGAUGUGCGCAGAUGGCUAUGUUACCUAUGAAACCCUACAAUUAUGCUUUCCACUUCAUCAACUGAAGAGUGCAUCAUGUUCAGAGGUAUACAAUAUGUAUCCUAAAUGCCAUGUUAAUUGAAAAUGUGUAUUUGAUCACUACCACAAUCAGCACUCAGAUGUGCAACAUAUUAUACCUGUGCAAAAACCUUCCAACACCCUCACAAACUCCCAUUCAAACUUCCAUUCCAAGCAUUCCAAAUAGGCCAUUAGGCAUUUAUAAAGUUUAUAACUAAAUUAUUUUAAUAAUGCUGUAUAUUUAGUUUGAAUUUUUCUGCUUUCCAGACUCUAGACAGAAGCCUUAACUACUGGGUCACCUUGCAAACCCCCCAAAAUUAUUUCUUAACUGAUUAGACUUUGACUCUGUGUGGUGCAAUUUAUUUUCUUGCAAUUAAUGAAAAGGAUCAUUACCAAACGUCUUAAUAAAGAUGUGUUGGUUUUGUUUAUAUCGGUAGCUGUUCUUUUUAACCACUGCAUCACUGAUAUAAUAUAGCUUAAAGUAAUAUUCUAAUAAUUCAUGAGAAUGUGAUAAGAUUAUAAUGUGUGCUCUGCUCCUGU